GAAGACUUCUCCAGCUCCUUUGCUGGUUACUGCCCACAAGCCCAGCUCCAAUCGCAGGGGUGAGUAGUGUGUCCCUGCUGAUCCCACAGGCUGAGCACUGGUUUUGUGGAAUCCAUUCCUGAGAAAUGGGAUUGUUUUGGUCUAAGGUCCUCCAACAGGAAAGAACAAAGCUACAGGACACAAGAAACCCCAUGAGACAUCCAAAAACAUGAGGCAAAUGCUGAAGGAAAUGCUGCAGGCAGGACAAGGUGGGUGCAUUUCCUAGGCCAUCCCCUGGGACGCAGCAGCCGGGGGCUUCCCCUGCACAUCUGCACAGGUCGUGCCUGGCACAGUGGGAAGGGAUCCAUGGCAGCCUCCAUGCCCUGCUGCUGCUCUCAUGCCCUGCAGGGCUGUUUCCCAGGCUGGCCUGGCUGCAGCUUCUCCCCAGCCUCUGCAGGAAGGCAUUUGGCACCAGCUGACAGGGAGCCCCAACUUCGCCACGGGCCAUGCACACCCUGAUGUCCCCUGCAAUUUCCCAGUCCCCAGAAGAUCAGGAGGGGUGGCGGUUUGGAAAAGAGAGAGCCCUGUCCCAGCCCCAAGAGCCUGGGCCUUUUCCUCAUCCUUAUGCCUGUCUUUGACAAGGAUUGCCUCCUGAAGUUUCCACCCCCCUGAUGUGUAAUGCUUCCAUCUGAUUCAGCUGUGCCUCUUCCUUUCUCAAGGGAUGGACAGAGACGCUCUAUGGAAGGCAGCAUUUCCUGAAGGAAGGGAGGCAAUUCCAGGCAUGGGCACAGGCACAGGAGGUAAUUGCUGUGCUGGCCCCAGCCCUUAGUGAGGCUGUGUGGCAGAAGCUCUUCUCCAAGGGCCUGACCUGUGUGAGAUGGUCUGACUGUUCCUUGGCCGGUCUGAGCUGACCAAGCAGACAUAGGCAAGAAGGAAUAGUUGUGGCACUGCCUGUUGCACAUUUCCUCAGGAAAUUAGCGAGGGUUUCCUCUGUGUGAGUCAGAGAACCACCAUGGGCCCUGGGCAGGUUCAGCAACCCCUCCAGGGAUGUAGCACAGGGCCUGCAAAGAGGGUGGAGAGUGACCAGGAGCCAGUGCAGGGCUCUCCAGGCCCCUGUGCAGCUUUGGCCGUGGCCAUUCACAUCUGGCACCCACUGCUUAACCUGACCCCUUGCAGUGCCCAUUUCCCAAAGGCAGAGGGAGACCCCGGAACACCAUGGAAAUGCUUCUGACCUGUGUUUCUGUCUAGAUUGGGAUCAUGACAUGGCUUAUCUGGGAGGCCUAGCACAAGACAGUUUGAAAUCCUUAGAGAAUUUUGGAGACAAGUUCUCAAUGUCCCUGUUCCUGAAAGAACAAUCAAUGCCCAUGUUGCAAGAGCUCAAUCAUGUGCCAUUCCCUUAAGAGCCUGAAGGUUGUUGACAUUAAGAAACCCUGCACUGCUCCCUUCUCAAACCCUGAGUGAUCCCACAGGAUCACUGUCAGUGGGAGGAAGGAGCAUUUAGCUGUCAGUUUUCUUCCUGUGUGCAAUGCCAGAUUGUCCUUCCGUGUCCUCUGUGCAGCCACAGAGAAGAGCAGAGAGGGAAGGGGCCAAGCCCAGGGCUGUGUCCUGGGGCUGAGCCUUGGGUGCAGCCUGAGGAUCUCCUACAUUGCCACAGG
ensembl:lncRNA